CCGGGAGGCCCACCCGCCGAGCAGGACACGCCCGCGAGGGGGUUGGUGGCGGCGGCCUGGCUGGGGGUCCCGACCACCGACCGCCGAGCACCUCCACGGAUGUUUGUCUUUCUAUCUGGACUGAACAUUUUGAGCAACAUAACGUAAAGCUGAAGUAGUGAUAAGCAAAGUGGACUUGGCAGACUAAUAAUCACAGCUCUGGGAGAAACCACAGUACUUUGGUAAACAGAGGACAUUGUAGAAAUCGGUAUUCGAGAUGGCAAAGACAUGAAUAAGGGCUUCGAUGGCAGAGGUGGUGCGAAUGAUAAGGUUGCAAACCACCAUAUGUUACCUGGUUAAGCAAAUGGGGAAUUUAUAGGAAUUAGAGUCAGAUUUAAGUGGGUUGUGAUGAUGAGAGGCAAACAAGAUGCCCUCAGUCUUGUUAACGGAGGUAUAGGUCUCGUCCAGGAUUUGGUGGCAGACAGGUGGUUAGACCAGACAGCUAUUGUCCUUGAAUUGAAGUUAAGAAUGUUGAAGCCAUAUACGUAGAAGAACAUGCAUAUGUCUCUUGAGGAAAAGCAUAUAACAAUAAUAAAAAAAAACUUGCAUUUGAUAUAGGGCGUUAUCAUG